CCUUCCCACUCCGUCGCACAGCAAAGAAAGCAAGAAACUAAGCUCAUUAACAAAACAAACAAACAAGGGUGAUGGAAUUGAUUUACUGCAUGAUGCACUGCUGAGUGGACCAGGGGAAAAAUAUUAACCCUGAACGAAUUCAGCAAGCACCAUGCAAAUGGAAAUGAAGAAGAUCAGGUGUGGUGUGUUCUCCCAGGUUGAACAUUUCCAGGAUAAGGUUUUUCUCAUUUUGUUGUCAGUACCAAGCCCAUGAUAAUAAGCAGUUUUACAAAUUGACAGAUUUAUCAUUUUGACAUGCAAUUUUCUGUGUACCUUUUCCAAAGCCAUGGUUAAGCUAUGAAGAUAUUUGUAUUUGGAAAUAAACUGAUUAUGAUACUGCACA